UGCCAUUCCUUGAAAUGAUGCGUAUCCUCGUAGAAGCGUUCUGCUGGGCAUGCUUAGUAGACUCCAGAGGGGUGCCGUCUUUUAGCCAGGUUACGUUGGGUGAUGGUGUCCCGGAUGCGGAGCAUUGCAGGAGGGCGGCCUGACCUUCGACGAUGGUCACCUCGAGAGUAGAUUUUGUGUGGUUCUCGAUGGACGGGGGAGCUGGGAAAAGAGGUAUUACAUAUUUGCACAUUGCGGGUGUCCACGAGAACUCUCGACGUAAUCUGAUAAGGUUUUCACAAAAAAAAAAAAACUACGGGAGCAGCACAAGUGCCAGCUUCGCAGGCCCAUUAUUCGGUCAGGCGGACAUUCUACAGGAGAAAAGGCCGAGGCAUUCGCAAUACUGGCCGCUUUGAGGCACGUCUCAUCGUUGGCGCCCAGGGCCUGGACGAUCCUGACCGACAGUAAAGUGACUCUCGAGGCGCUGACCUUCUACUCUGCUGCAGUCGUCGCCGACAUCUACACCACAACCGUCGCCCUGCACUCCGAAUUUGUAUUGCUGGGACACGGCGUGGUAUUCCAGUAGAUUCGGAGUCAUGUCGAACUUUCUGGGAAUGCUCGUUAUGACGCUCUCGCUCGACACACUGAGCACCCAACUGUGCUUCCCCUUACGCUCCGUAUGUGCCAGCUGAAAAUCAGCCGUUUUAUUGCCAACUGCGCGCAGCUCUUUCAGCAAGAAGCCAUACCCACAAAUGCCUUCCUUAAAUCCAUUGACCCGCUAAUGACACAUGCUGUACCUGGCCGCAUCGAGGAGUCGUUGCUUCAUCGGCAUGCGACUGAAUGUGGCACGAACUGCACUCCUCCUGUUUAUAAUGAGCCAACUUCCAUCACCCCUUUGCUCCACGUGUCAUGUAGAAGCUGACGUGCAACACAUACUCCUGGCCUGUCAGCGGUACGAAGGUCACCGGUCCAGUCCAGGGGCGGAUCCAGGCCCUGGGUUUGGGGGACGGUUUCAUUGUUGAAGCGCGUAGUGGUGGAGGGGAGAGAGGGAAAUCCAAUGUAUAAACUGACGUUUUUUGGGGGGGGCGAUCGCCCCCGCCCUCUGGAUCCGCCAUUGGUCCAGUCUCCGGUGCCGUCUCGCUCAUCUAGGCUACCGAGAGCUUUCCCUGGCGGUGCUACUUGGCCCUACUGAGCACACGGAAGUCACGUCUGCGCUGACACGCAUCCUUCGGGAAGCGAAACUCUUGGGCACUCUCACACCUCCUACACUCUAAAAAGAGAACUUCACCGCAUUGCACGCUCUGCACCAUCCUUUGCACAAAAUGAUAGGGUUAUAGCUUCUGAUUCGAAACAGAGAGCGGAGCGUACGCCUUUUUGUGUCAAUUUGGAUACAUGAUAAUUGACACAAAAAGGCGUACGCCUCCCCUGUCUCUUCGAAUCAGAGGCGACAACCCUAUCGUUCGUAGCAGUGGUUAGCGCAGAGUGUGCUAUGCGGUGAAGUUCUGUGUUUGAAGCGUUACUAGCUGCACAACGAUUAGUGAAGGAGCUGUCUUUUCCUGUACUUCUUAUUAAUUUUCUGUGCCUCUGCGGCAUCAUCUUCCUUUUCGGUUUGCUUUCGGGAGUAGCAAGCCUAUAUCAUGGCUAACCUCUUGCUUAUUUUUUGUCAGCACUAGACAUAUCGCCCCGUUCCGCUUUUAAGUUAUCCCGAAACCGCGCCGGUCGCGAACCCAUGGUGCAGCGCACUAAUAUCGCAUCAGAGGGUCACGGGUUCUGGAGCGAUCACACAUGGAGGAAGGAAAGAGAGGAGGAGCUCUAUUGCGCCGAGAGGUGAAGCCGAGAUUGGGGACCCACUCCAGUGACAUGACCACUCGUUUUCAUUUGCUGUUUCCGGUUUCUGCUACGUACGUCUCCAUGGGGACUGAAAAACAUGGUUUUGGAAUACUUGGAGAGGUGUGGUGGUAGCUCGCCGACGAGUCCCCAAAGUGGCGUGAGCAAGACGACCUCAUUGGAGUGUUCAGGUAACGUGACGCCCUGCGUUGCUCCGAAGAAGCUAUAGCUCGUCUCCUAUCCUUAGGUAACUGCCACGUCACUUGCCCCAACCUUCUCUCUUCCGUCGAAGGGGGGCGCCUCCUUUUCUUCUUUCCUUCAUGGAUGGACAGAUGACCCAGGUUCAUGUUUGAUGAGCCUCCGUAGGGGAAGGUGAAUGCGUUACCGAGACGUGGUGUUUCUGGUUUCAGCUUGUUUCCAUAGCAAAAUCCGUUGGGUGGUCAUUCACGGAACGCGUUCGUUUCGAAAUUUUUCAAAGCUAGAAGACGAUAGAGAAUGAGGAUUGUUCCCAUUCUGCUGUCUCGGUUCUGCAAGAAAUACCCUAAUUAAACAGUUAAUUAAUACACUUCAGGUAAUUAGACUUUCGUGAAUUUGCAUACUCUCUUCGAGAGGAUGUCCGUGUGCGCGGUUUACUCAACUGCGGAAACGACAUCUAUGAUGCCCUCGUAACUUCUUCUACGGAAAUUUCCGAAAUGAUUACAAAAGUAAAAUAGAAAUAAAAUAGAGAAAAAUU